AUUCAAAUAUUAAAAUAAAUAGAUAAAUAUGUGUUUGUAAUGAUUUGAACGCAUUAUUCUCUUUCAGUGAAGGUAAUCAACAGGGUAACCAUACAAAGCAAUGAAAUCAACUGUGUAAUGUAUACCAUAUACAAAUAUGUGUGUGUGUGUGUGUGUGUGAGAGGGGGGGGGGCUAGACAUGCAGCCAAGCAGCCACCACGAGACCAAAGGAUGUUCCCUUGCUCUUUUUCAAAACAUUCCCUGAGGGGAGGUUUCUUUUGGCCAUAUCCACCCACCCUGCUCACUCUCCGUGUAUUUUUUUCAACGUGCUCCCUUCCAACAAGCGAUUCUUGGAGGCCAGACUAUAUUUGUUUAGCCACUGCAGCUUCAACUUCCCAUCAGCCAGAAACAAAUCCUUUGCCUUGGGUGAGAAAAAGACCGAGGGAGGAAGGGAGAGAACAGGGGGUGGGGGGUGACAUGGCAGGGAGCAGAGCCCACAGUGUUGCAGGGCGGUGGGUUGAGAGCUCUUGUUGUGGAGUGGAUCUGACAGACGCUCCGAGAUGACACAGGCUUGGACAGCCUUAGUCUGCAUCUCUCUCCUAUACGUCUGCGUCUACUUGUCUGCGCUCCCUCUCAUUUGGGUAUCUUGAAACAGCAUCGCAGCCGGUCUGAAAGCGUGGUCUGUCUUCAGUUCGACAGUGAUGGAGGAUGUCUUCCAUCAGACAGUGCAAACAAUGUAUCAGCACAGUAAAAAUCUGAAGGGAAGUCGAGAUGAGGAGACUAUGGUGUAUUCUAAUGAGACUCACUUGAGAAAAUCAUAUUUUACAGCGGAAUAUGAUAAUUCAUACCCCCUUUGCUGGAGCGGUGAACUGGUGCGGGUGGUGUACUCUCAAAUGUCAGCAUAAAUUUGCAAAAUAAAACCAACCAGCAUUCAGCAGGGAGUAGGAACAGGGACAAUAAGGGUCUCUGCUGUGUGUGUGUUUGUGUGUGUGGGUGUGACAAUUCCUCUCAGAGGGUCCAUGACUUUGUGCGCACUCCUGUUUCAGCUCACAGGAGUGCCUAUCGCCAACAAGUGUGUCAGCUAAUCUAUGCUUACACAUGUUUGCAGGGAGGGAAAGGCUGCUUAAGAAAAAAACAUGUCAUCCCCGUAUGUUUCAUCAAAGCCAGCUAAAUAUGACCCAAUCAAUCUAAUCUGCCUUUACUUAAGAAUAAGCGUUGGAGCAUCUGUCCAAAACAAUGCUCAAACAAGCAAGACAAAGCAGCAUAA